AUCUGAGCAUUGAUAAUGUUCUAUCUAAAUUUGUACAGUGUGAUUUUUUUUUUUAGAAUAAAUAUUUUAUAAAAGGGUUUAUUGUCCCUUGUUUAUGUUAAAAUGCUUGUUUCCAUGAGGGGUUUCUUCCCUCUCAAUGUCCCUAGCCCCUUGGGAACCAGAGGCCCCAGAGACAGUGUGGGCUCCUCAGCGUAGCCUCUUGGUGACAGCGUGCGCUGCCUGGGCAGGCACAGUGCUGCUGUGAUCACAGGGGAGGCCAUGACUUGGCACCUGGGAAGCCAGCUCAGAGCAUAUUCAGUCAAGUUGAUGAGGAAUGGCGGCCCGACCUCAGCAGCAGGUCGGCGUGCGGGACUCUCAGAAUGGCGGCCUGAUCUCAGCAGCGGGUCGGCAUGCCAGACUCUCGGAGCCCUCAGCUAUCUUCAUGUGUUUCAGGACUGCUGCCAUGUAACGUGUGUGUGUGGAGAGUGUGCGGAGUGUACACGAAGCAUGCCCGGAGGCUCAGCAUGAAGCACUCUGUACCCAGCUCUACCUCCUCAUUGUCCUUCAUCCAGUGUGUACCUUCAGCCAGGCCUGCCCUCGUGUGGGAGGGGCAGUCCCCAAGGAGCACACGCCAUGAUGUCAGAAACAUCUUCUUCGAGGAAGAUGGCCCUUUACAGGCCCCAGGGGACGGGGGCAGCACGGAGCCCUCUCUGGACCUCUGCCGCAGGCCACAGAACCUUCUCCAGCCCUUGACUCUCCUUGCCUUUCAUUUACCCUCCAUUGUUCCAGGCUACCACGGAAUGAUGAUUACAGCUGAGUUUACCCAAAUCCCACCACAGGGUCAAAUGAAAGGGCCUUGACAAGAUGUCCCUUGGCAGCUUGAGAUCGCAGUUGUGUUGCUGGGUUAUGGCCUGGGUGCAGGCUGGUUUGCAGUGGGCGGUACUGGCAGCUACCAUCAAGGUCUCUGUGCUGGGCUCCAGCCCUCAGCCCAGAGGGGUGGUUCCCCACUUUAUAGAGAGGGGGUUUCCAGCUCACAGAAGGUGAGAAGCUUGUCCCAGGCCUGGAGCAGCUGUGGAGAAACUGGGAGGGAAGCCCGUCCAGCCUGAUUCCAAGCCCACAUGCUGCUCACAGGUCAAGGCCGAGGGACUGAUUUUUGCCGGUCUGACUGGACUCAAGUUACUUCCCAGUUCCUUGCAGAGAGCUGUCUUUGUGAGACAGUGUCUUGGGUUCUGGAAUGAUGGGAGCCGUGCUUUGCAAAUGAGGAGUGAUUGCGUGCUCAUCUGGCAGCUGGUGGGUGUCCUGCUGGCAUCAGGCCUGAGCGGUGACCGUGCUCCUCUGAUUGUCCUCACUGCGUGUGACAAGGCCUGGGCCACUGUGUGAGUCGUCUUGCGCUCCAUGAAGCCUGGUGUCUGUGCAGAUGUGUGGGUGGCGUUAGGGUUGGGGGACAUUUGUCUUUCACACUGGAGAAUGGGAGUCUGGAGCUGGUGCUACUGGUGAGGAAGAGGCCCGGCCUGCUGCCAGGUUCGCCCACACCUUCCCCCUGGUUGUUGGGAAAACCAACCUUGGAAUGGCCAAGGCAGGAGAUAGCACCUCCCCGGUGAAGAUCCAGGAGCUCUCAUGAGCUCCACGUGGAAAGAUCAAGGAUCUGGAGUCUGGAGCCCUUCAGGCAGCAACUCAGUGACCAUGAACCUCAGCUCUGUCCACCCGGCACAGCAUUGCUGGGAGCUGGACCCGGGAGGCUGCCGGCUCCAGAGUGAGGAGGGUCCAGACCAUGCAGACAAUAUGCCCUUUUUCUCCAAACACCAUUUCAAGCAAACCCGCAGGUCUCCUCCACGGCUGUCAGCAGCUUCUCGUAGAGCUUCUCAUAGGACUCAUAUGGUGGAAUGUCGAUCCGGUUAAAGCUGAAAAAGGACAAAAGAGAGUCACCGUGUGGGCAGUCCAGCCCUAGGACCAACCUCAAGGCCAAGGACAGGCAAGACAGGGUCUCGCUAGGUUGCCCAGGCUGCUCUCAAACUCCUGGCCUCAAGUGAACCUCCUGCCUUGCCCUCUCAACGUGCUGGGAGCCACUGUGCCCAAUCAACACACAGUAAAGGGGAAGCUCAUUUCCAGUAUUUGUGCAAAGAAAAAGACAUCCUUUAAGAAGCUAUCGUAGCAAACCAAAAAAUACAAAAUUGUGACCCAGAGGAUGUACAGUGACUUCUGGCUUUCUAGGGUGCUGUGGCUUUUGAGUUCUGAUGAUGACAAAAAUAUUUUGGCAGAGACUCCAUCUCAAAAAAAAACAACAAAAAAAAAACGUGAACGUCAGCAUCCUCUGGGGCUCCCAGGACGCCGUGACUUCCUGGCCGCGGUGCUUACCAGCACACAUCUCAGAAAAACAUCCCAGCCACCUUCCAGCUCUUCCUGCCCACAGCGCACAUAGACGCGUCAUCGAAUAGCCCUGCCUCCACGUCAGUCACCUUGCAAAGCCUUGAAGCCUUGGAGCGGGACUCGCGUGGACCCAGUCACAAACUGCAGGAGCCUGGCCCUCCUUUCUUCAUCGAACGUCUCCACCGCUUGCCAGAACCACCGCACGAUGUUGCUGUCGGCCACACAGUGCUUCAGCCGCGUGUUCGACUUCCAGUCGUUCAAGUCUAUUUUAUCCAGGCCGCCUAUGAUCAGCUGAGGAGGUGCAGAAAGGUGAAUUACUUCCAAAAUGCAUAAACCCACGUCAGGAUGCGCCUCCUAGGUACCCGACACACAACAGUGAAAAGUCGAUUCCCAAGCAAAGCAGCAGCUGUGUACUAGGCAGAUGUUGAGACAGGAAGAAAGCUACAAACAGGAGGCCUGUGGCACAUGCUUCCGUCCGCCUCCUCCAAACGGGUCUCCAACCCCAAGGACCGCGGUGCACAGCUGUUGAUGGGAUGUUAUUUUAUAACCAAAGCGGGGUUUUUGCUCUGCAUCGGUGAGGAGUAUCAAAGAACCAACCGGUGACACUGAACAGAGCUAACCAUGAAUAACGGCACGUCCCAGGGUCUCUCCAGGACACUCAAGGACAUGUGGAGUUUCAAGUCUGAAGAGAGGAGAAUUCAGCAAGAGUUAGGUGGGGCUGGGGCCGAUAGGGCAUGUUUCCGCAAUUGGCUUAAAAAGUUCAACCCCUGCUGGGUGCAGUGGCUCACGCCUGUAGUCCCAGCACUUUGUGGGGGCCGAAGUUGGGCAGAUCACUUGAGCCCAGGAGUUCAAGGCCAGCCUGGGCAACAUGGCAAAACCCCGUCUCUACAACAAAUACAAAAAUUAGCCAGGCAUGAUGACGUGCACCUGUAGCCUCAGCUACUCGGGAGGCGGAGGUGGGAGGAUGGCUUCAGCCUGGGAGGUCGAGGCUGCAGUGAGCCAUGAUCGCACCACUGCACUCCAGCCUGAGCAACAGAGCGAGACCGUGUCUCAAAAAAAAAAAAAAA